AUUGAACGCUGGCGGCAGGCUUAACACAUGCAAGUCGAACGGAGAGAGGUAGCUUGCUACUGAUCUUAGCGGCGGACGGGUGAGUAAUGCUUAGGAAUCUGCCUAUUAGUGGGGGACAACAUUUCGAAAGGAAUGCUAAUACCGCAUACGUACUACGGGAGAAAGCAGGGGAUCUUCGGACCUUGCGCUAAUAGAUGAGCCUAAGUCGGAUUAGCUAGUUGGUGGGGUAAAGGCUUACCAAGGCGACGAUCUGUAGCGGGUCUGGGAGGAUGAUCCGCCACACUGGGACUGAGACAUGGCCCAGACUCCUACGGGAGGCAGCAGUGGGGAAUAUUGGACAAUGGGCGCAAGCCUGAUCCAGCCAUGCCGCGUGUGUGAAGAAGGCCUUAUGGUUGUAAAGCACUUUAAGCGAGGAGGAGGCUACUUUAGAUAAUACCUAGAGAUAGUGGACGUUACUCGCAGAAUAAGCACCGGCUAACUCUGUGCCAGCAGCCGCCGUAACAC
rnacentral:rRNA from 1 species